AUUGUAAAAGCAGAAUAGAAAAACUGUCAGAUAACUUCUUUACGAUGUUUUGAUGCUACUCGGAUGUGUAGUAGGCAUGUACGUACGUAAUAAACUCAAGCACAAUCAUUUUCAAAUUGAAUUCAAACAAACAACUAAUCUAACAAUCUUUUCUUGACCAACUGGAGACCCUUUCACAACCCACGUUGAUGGAUGGGUUAUUCGGUCAAUGUCGCCUGGCGCCCGAAAUCAAAGAAAACAUUAAAAUAGAGUGUAAACCGAUAAUACGCGAUGCGUGAGUAACAUAAUAAAUGAAGAAAUGGAAUGGUUCAAGUCGAGCUAUUGAACUUUUGCCAGGGAAUGCACGUGACCAGGGCCGGAUUGCGGUUAGUUUGUGGAAAGUUGUGGCUUUGGCCAAUUCAAAUGUUUGCUUUAAUGACAUUGCCAAUACUUAAAGAGGUGUAAAUAAGUCGAAAGACUGGGUUAUUGCAUCACUUUGCAGACCCCUUUGGGCACUGACAGGAGACUGUCGCUGGCUGUGGACUGGAAUCUGGGAAUGCGCGCCUGCAGGUGUGAAAAUAAGCGCCAAUAAAACAUGAAUCAACACGAAAAUAAACAAAAUCAAAGCAGGAAUGAAAAUUAAUUGAAUACUGGAAUCAAACUCGUUCGUUUAGCGCCUGAACUGGCAAUGUGUAAUACUGGCAAUGCCAAAUUGCGAAUCCGUACAGUUUUGGGGGCCCGUACAGCUGUUGAAUGUCUGCCUGUACAAUUAGAGAUAACGCAAUCCACAGAUGCCGCUCCAACCCAGGGGAGGGGGGAACGGGUGCUGUUGCCACAUUUCCGCACGCGACUAAAAUGGAGAGGGAAACAGAGAGAAGAGCAAGAGCUGCGGCCACAACAUGCAAAAAUUUAAAUAAGUCAUAUAAUCAUAUAAGCGGUGACCUUUGCUCGACAAGGGACACACAAAAAUACCUGGAAACCUGGAUCCAUUCUUCAAGGAAAGCACUUCCAGUCUUUCCAGUCAAACAAUCCUGGCAUCCACUCCUACUCAAACGUUGUGGGGAGUCCUUUACCGCUCUCUCCCACACCACUUCCCCAGCCAAAUCACGCAACCAACUCUGGGGUGGGGUGGAAGGGGAAGAGAUCAACGGCAAUUAAGGCGACUGCGUAACAAAAAGAAAAACUUGCAACCAAGGUGCACGCGACAACCCGAACCGCACUGGCCAGCGACCAGAGGCACUGGAGCACAAAAACCAAAAACCAAAGAAAAUGAAAUGAAAUGUCCGGACAACCGGACAACCGGACAACACCCAUGACAAUGAAGCGGCAACAUUCAGCCGAAGAGUCGCGUCUGCGUAAUACCAGAAGUAGUCAACAGGUGAACAACUUCCAAGGGGAGAGCGGACCAGAGACGAGUGUGGCGGAGCUGCAGCUUGCCCCGAAGCAGGCCAG
rnacentral:lncRNA from 1 species